AAAACAAUACAUAAUUACAGAGGAGAAUAUUACUGAAAAUGUGCUUCAGGUGUUUGAAUAUGUCAGGAGGCAUUUAACAGUACAGUCCUCAAAGUUGCAGCAUUCUUUCUU